UCGCUCAGACUAACACUCAGAGUUUGGUUCUUAGCUGAAUUAGAGAUUCUAUUUAUGUCUAACUUUUUUUCUUGGUGGCUUUUUCGUCUGUGUUCUAUUGCAAUGUCAUCUUUGAAGACAUUAUUGCUGGAAUUAAUUACUUCUCCGUAUACCAGAGCACUGGCAUCCUGAAUUUGUUACAUCAAAGGAUAUUGACUGAGAAGACAAAUAAUUAAAUGACCCGUAACACAGUUCAGAGUUAAAGAGGUACCAACUGCUGAGAUGCCUUUGUCUUCCCUAGAAUCAGGAUGUGACCAAUCACUUCUUAACUUGGUGAGAAGAGGGAACUGGGAUGCAGCUGGCUAUCAGAUGCUGUCUCCAAGCUCUUUGCAAGCUUCCUGCUCUGCACAGAGUAUCUUGCUUUUGCGGGUUCCUGAACCAGACGCAGAAUGUUGCCUAAAGUGUGGAUUUUUUCUGCUUCUUAUAAAAAAAAGAGGAAUAGUACCUCUUUCUGUAGGAGGCUUUGUCAAGGCAUAAACUGGAAAUGUGUUCCUGGAAUUGCUUACUAUCAAUAAAAAGCAUUUUAAACUUAGAUACAAGUUUUCAUAAUGAAUUGAUUUGUUUGGGAAAAGCAUUUUUGUGCUAGUACUGUAUACACAUCAGACCUUUGGGCUGACAAAUAAUGUCAAUAAAACAUGAUAUUAUCCUUCCAGCAAA